CACAAACUUAAAAACAUUGAGAAUUACUGCUUUAGAUUAAAAUGUCACAGAAGAGGACCAGACUAGACUUAUUGGACCCAGCACUGGAGAAUUUACAGGAAGACAUUGAACUUAAUUGCUAUAUGCUCUGAAUAUAAAUUCAGCCAAUUUUGUCCUAAGUAACAAACGUAUAAGUGUUUCAAGAGAGAUCACGUAGAGCUCAGAGAAAGAAAAGAUCUUUCUGUGUUCAAUCACUAACAAGCUGUUCAAGCAUCAUUUUUCAGCUCAUGAAUAAUUUAUUUAUUUAAGCCACCACCUCUCAUAAGCAAAGUGAUGCAAUAUAAGCACAAUGCUCAUCAAGUAUAAUAACCAUCACUGCAAACAAGAUGCUUCCUGCAGCUUACCUUCUGGGCAAGUGGAUAAAGAACUGCUUGAAGACAUGAUGGCUAUUUCUGAUUUUCUGACUUGUGUGAGUUAUUUAAGUUAAGAAGAAAGUUCAGAAG
rnacentral:lncRNA from 1 species